UACGUAGGGGGCAAGCGUUAUCCGGAUUUACUGGGUGUAAAGGGAGCGUAGACGGCAGGGCAAGUCUGGAGUGAAAGCCCGGGGCCCAACCCCGGGACUGCUUUGGAAACUGCCAUGCUAGAGUGCUGGAGAGGUAAGCGGAAUUCCUAGUGUAGCGGUGAAAUGCGUAGAGAUUAGGAAGAACACCAGUGGCGAAGGCGACUUACUGGACUGUAACUGACGCUGAGGCAUGAGAGCAUGGGGAGCAAACAGG
rnacentral:rRNA from 1 species